UGCAAGUGAUGUUGUUCUCACGAUGGUCUUCCAAGCCUUCAUGGCUUUGAAGAAAUUGCCUAAAGGCAACACUGAUGCAGUACA
ensembl:snoRNA